rnacentral:rRNA from 1 species
UACAGAGGGUGCAAGCGUUAAUCGGAAUUACUGGGCGUAAAGCGUGCGCAGGCGGCUUUGCAAGACAGAUGUGAAAUCCCCGGGCUCAACCCUGGGAACUGCAUUUGUGACUGCAUGGCUGGAGUGCGGCAGAGGGGGGAUGGAAUUCCGCGUGUAGCAGUGAAAUGCGUAGAUAUGCGGAGGAACACCGAUGGCGAAGGCAAUCCCCUGGGCCUGCACUGACGCUCAUGCACGAAGCGUGGGAGCAACAGG